AGCAUCUCUGUGAGCCACUGGUUCGCGUGUUUGCCAGGACUUCUUUAUCUUUGUAGUCUCCAUUGUGGUACAAUAGUUGACCUCAUGCAUUCAGAUGUAACACGUUUUAUCUCGUGCCUAGCAGGUGGAUCCCAUACAACUAUGGACAUUGAACACGUUAAGGACUUUCCUUACUGGCAAGCGUUGCCGUUCACCCACAUGAUAAAUUUUGCUUCAAACAAUUGACAAGUUGAACUUUUUUUAAAUUGUUUAAUUUAAUUAUUUAUGAAAAAAUUUCGAGUUCAAGUUAAUGCCUUCUUCAAUUCCAGUCACGGUUUCACAUCGAUCUUUGCCGCCUAAAUUCUUUCUUGGCGAACAUAGCGAAGUGCAGCCAUUUUAAUUAGUUGUCACCAGAAUGAAAGACCAGACAGUCUGGCUUACUUCAACGAUAGAACACUGCUGCCUGGGUCCAGUCAUGAAAUAUUCUAUCAGGACAAGAAUAUAUGGAUAUGCUUUUUUACUUGAUCUUCUAAAUUGAGGUAAUGGCUGUCUGAAGAACUCAUCUGCCGUAGAGAUGUGGUUCACAAAAUCAGAUGAUCUGAAGCAUGAAAGACAAACCGAAGGUGGUUCACCGUUCAGACGGGAAUAGCCGAUUUCGUGGAGUGACAUGAAAAUCUACAAAGAACUUGUGAUAGGUCAUCAGAGACACCCUGCCUAUUAGGCCCAGAUUCUUAUUUGUUACAGAUCACUCAAUCCUGAGACCCAUCAGCCUAUUGGUAAGGCUAAAGAGAAGAGAUCUAUCUGCCAAUUGAUGGACGCGGAUAUGAACGACGAAGUAACGAAGAGAAAAGACACCGUAUUGGUCUAUUUAACAAAACUAUGGAAGAAUGCCCUCUUAUGGUGUACGAUGUAUAAAUAAGAAGCUGGAAGCUAAAAUGCGUUUCGACACUGACCAGUUGCAGCGUUGAACACUUGCCUGCCUUGACAGUUUGUUGCACUGCCCGGCUUAACAACUUGCUGCACCUCCCUUCGGUUGCGGUCGGGUCUGCGUGAAAACCAUCAGAAAUUAAUAUCGUACUGUGGAUAAAAAGAUGACAACAAAUAAAAUGCCCGUCAUACCUUGAAUGUGUAGGGGUCCACUGUGACCCACUGCUUGGGGUCAUUGCAAGGGCCUCUGCCCAGCACGGGAUAGCAGUUUCUGUCGUUUGCGAAUCGAACGGAAUUCGAAUCGCAGCCGUCGUCUGGAAUCGAACCGUUGACUGGCAUCAUCUGCUGGAAGAAAGGUGUGGCGUCGUCCGUUGGCAGUACGACAAUAUUCGGGUUGAAUUCUUCACCUGUCGCCUUCUUUUCUUUUUUCUUUAACCAUUUUUUCAUUUUCUUGGUUAGCUUCGAUAAUCUACGCUGCGCGCCAUCGUCUUUCGAAUUUCUUCUGGAACUCUUCGGCGUUAUUCCUCGUGAAAAUAGUUUCGCCGUCCAAGAUCGCCCGUCACUCGCGUACGGGAUGGAAGAUCGGAUCAAUCUUGUGCGGUUUUCGGGCGCGAGGCUCUGCUUCUGAGCGUUAGAUCCAAGAAGAAUAGCCAGCAACGUUACGAGUAAAACGGCUAUGCUUAGAAUGGUGCCAUCCAUCGUGGUGGAUACUAUCGAAAAAUGUGAAGUUUUGUUUCCCCCACCGGCGAGCGAAUGGUUUUUUGAGCACUUGACUAGUCACAGAGUUGAGGUGAAGUGAGAUGAGCUCGUUCGCAAUGAAGGUGCCUAGGUGAAAACUGAACCCGGCGCUGGCUAGCUUUCACCUUCCGUAUGCACGCACACAAAAAGUAUUUGCCGUCGGAGAAAAUGAGUGGCAUUCUCAUCUUCCAGUUUGUUUUUUUUUUUUUCGAAUUGGGACGGUAUCGCUUUAAAACUUGGUCAGACCUAACGGUAGAUUUUUCCCUUUUCCUUUUUUGAUGCGAGGGGGGAUGCAUCUGUAGCAACUGAGUAUGAAUUAUCAGCUCUUAUUGGGUCACUCAUCACCGUCAGCUUUCACACGAACGCGUUUCUUUUUUCGCAACCGGUUUUUCUGCCACGAUAAAUAGGUGCGCAUUGAAAUAUUUAACUGAGCAAAUGAGUUAGUUUGCUUUGUUUUGUUUCUGUAAUUGUGAGAGGUCUUUGAUUAAAAACAAACUGGUCCUUUUGACAGGGGAGUUCCCUUUGUCCCGAUCAAGGACGAGUAGGUAAACGGUGCAUCCCGAAACGUUAUCUUGUCAUCGUGUAAAAUAAUUUAAUUCGAAAUAUUCUCUCGGUUUAAGCAAGUGUUGAAGUGUUACAACUCGUACUACCUCGAGAGAACAUCCAAACACACGAGAUAAUCGUAUACAGGAAGAGAAAGUGCGAUUACAAUAAUUGGUUUGAGCGUUUUAUAUUCAUGCAGGCUUCACUUUUUUUGUUUUUAAAUUUAAAUUCUUCAUUUUGUUUUUUUGGUUUGUUUUUGUUCUCUCUUCUAGGAUCCCAAUGUACGCGUUUACAUAGAAUUUCGAAAGUGUUCCGGCCGAGCAAUUCCAGUUUGGAUUUUGUAUCACACGCCAAAAGACACUGGGGUUAGUGGAACAAGUCGCAACUCGAAUGGAACAUUUUGUUAUCGGUCACGAAGUUAUUGGGGGGGGGGGGGAAACUAAGUAAAUUGACACCUAUAUGGGUGCCGCCCACGUCGUGAUUCACGCUUCCGGCAAAAAAUGUGCAGCUGCUUAAAAACUGUCGUGUCAGACGCUGAGUCACUCGGCAUGCUGGUGAAGGAAGGACGCGUGCAACUCUAGCCCAGCACGAGACGACCGACCAGUUAUGUAAACACGUAUACCUAUGGCGCAGGUCAGUGUUGUGGGCCGACAAAGCGCGGAUUUAAUCCUAGACAGACACAAUCUUAAGGAAAGAGCUUUUGUUACAGGUUAGCUUCUGCAAGGAGAAAUCUUGAUAAGUGAUGUAGUUGAGCAAUCAUCAGGGACAGCAAUCACGUCACCUAAAAACCAGAAGUUCCUGGCACGAAUGCCCGAUCUUAGACAUUUCUAAUCAAUGGUUUUAUACCAAAUUUGGUGAAGAGAAGAUGACCCUUUAUUAUUCCUGUUGCUGGAAAACAAAAGAACCCGGAUGAAGUAGGUUCAGGGGGAUAUAUUUCGCCAUGUUAACGAAGAAUUUGAAAUUUCGGUAAUCAAAGUGAAAUUCCUCGUAAGCGCCUUGAAGGCGACUAAAUGAAAGAGUUAGGUGGGUUACGUGCUCUUGUGGAAUUCUGUAAGUAAUUUAAAAGAAAAACUUUAGCCGAUAGGGGUUUAAACCCAAGUAGAAGAAAGCAACAAUUUAAUGACAAUUGCUGAACCAUUUAUAAAAGAAUUACUUGAUUAAAAACAGCUGUAACCAACCACGUAAAUGUGAGGAAAAGCCAAGACUACUUGAUCUCCAAAAAUUACGACUAAGCGAAAAAUUAAAAUGACAACAAAGAACAAACGGAAAUUGGUGUUUUGGGAAGGUCGACUCUUAUAGCAUUGCACUUGGUUGCAAACAUCAAGCGCCGUUGAGGAAUGUUAAAAA